rnacentral:rRNA from 1 species
GACGAACGCUGGCGGCGUGCUUAACACAUGCAAGUCGAACGGAAAGGCCUGCUUUUCCUUGUGGUUUGCGGGUACGCGAGUGGGGAACGGAUGAGUAACACGUGAGUGAUCUGCCCCCAACUUGGGUAUAAGCCUGGGAAACUGGGUCUAAUUACCGAUAGGACCGCAGGGUGGUGUCGGUAGUGGCGAACGUUUUGCUAGUGGUUGGGGUUGAGCUCGCGGCCUAUCAGCUUGUUGGUGUGGUAUUGGCCUACGACGGCGGGGACGGGUAGUCGGCCGGGGAGCGCCGACAGCCGCAUUGGGACUGGGACACGGCCCCGACGCCAGCGCGCAGCAGCCUAUGGGAGUCAUACGCAGUGAGCGGAAGCCAGAUGCAGCGACGCCGCGUGGGGGAUGCCGGGCUUCGGGUUGUAACCUUCUGUCGACCGACAGGUAUCUACUUUGAUGGAAGGGUGGUGACGGUAGUGGUAGAAGAAGCACCGGCUAACUACGUG